AAAACUCUUUCUUUAUCCUUGAUCUUUGCCAUUAUACUUAUUAUGUGUCUUGGUGUUGUCCUCCUUGGAUCCUUUCUGUUGGGGGUUCUGUGUAUUUCCGUGGUCUGUUCGAUUAUUUCCUCCCCCAGUUUGGGGAAGUUUUCAGCAAUUAAAUUAUUUCUUGUAAGAUACUUUCCGUCUCUUUUCCUCUCUCUUCUUCUUCUGGAACCCCUAUAAUACGGGUAUUGUUCCGUUUGGAUUGGUCACACAGUUCUCUUAACAUUGUUUCAUUCCUGGAGAUCCUUUUAUUUCUCUCUAUGUCAGCUUCUAUGCGUUCCUGUUCUCUGGUUUCAGUUCCAUCAGUGGCCUCUUGCAUCCUAUCCAUUCUGCUUAUAAACCCUUCCAGAGUUUGUUUCAGUUCUGUAAUCUCCUUUCUGGCAUCUGUGAUCUCCCUCCAGACUUCAUCCCAUUUCUCUUGCGUAUUUCUCUGCAUCUCUGUCAGCACGUUUAUGAUUCUUAUUUUCAUUUCUUUGUCAGGAAGACUGCUUAGGUAUGUCUCCUUCUAUGGUGUGGUCUCUGUGUUCUUUGUCUGCCUGUAGCUUUGCCUUUUCAUGGUGAUAGGAAUAGUUUACAGAGCUGGGACGAGUGACGGCUGGAAGAACUUCCCUUCUUGUUGGUUUGUCGCCCUCCUCUCCUGGGAGAACAGCGACCUCUAGUGGCUUGUGCUGGGCAGCUGGGCGCAGACAAGGCCUCUGCUUCCUUCCGGGCUGCUAUGGAGUUUAUCUCCACUGUUGCUGUGGGCGUGGCCUGGCUCAGGCCUCUGCUCCAAAGUGGUGGAAUUGCGUUGGAGGGGGAGCGGCUGGGAGGCUGUUUAUCUCCAUACGGGGCCUCCCUUCUCCCUGCAGCCCAGGGGUUAGGGUGUCUAGAGAUCCCCCGAUUCCCUACCUCUGGAUUAAGUGUCCUGCCCUGCCCCUUUAAUACUUCCAAAAAGCACCCGCCAAAACAAAACAACGACCACACACACACACAAAAAAAAUUAUAUUUAAAAAAAAAAUUUUCUUUUUAAUUAAAAAAUAAAUAAAUAAAAGGUGGCUGCUCGUUUUUCUUUAUUCUUCGGCGCCAGCCUCAGGCAUCUGCUCACCAGUCUUGCUGCCCUGUUUCCCUAGUAUUGGGGUCCAUAUCCCUUUAAGACUUCCAAAAAGCGCUCACCAAAACAAAACAGCAAAAAAGCAAAAAAAAAAAAAAAAAAAAAAGUGGUCGCACGCUUUUCUUAUGUCCUCCGGCUCCCGGCGUACGGUGCCCGCUCACUGUUAUUGCUGCCCUGUUUUCCUAGUAUCCAGGGCCCUGCACUCUGGCCCGGAUGGCGGGGGCUGGGUGUUCGGCAGUCCUGUGCUCCGUCUCCCUCCCGCUCUGCCUAUUCUUCUCCCGCCGGGAGCUGGGGGGAUGGGUGCUCGGCUCCCGCCGGGCCGGGGCUUGUAUCUUACCCCCUUCACGAGGCGCUGGGUUCUCUCAGGUGCGGAUGUGGUCUGGAUAUUGUCCUGUGUCCUCUGGUCUUUAUUCUAGGAAGGGUUGUCUUUGUUAUAUUUUCAUAGAUAUAUGUGCUUUUGGGAGGAGAUUUCCGCUGCUCUACUCACGCCGCCAUCUUCCGCCCCUCUCUGAUACACACUCUUAUGAAGGUUUCACAUGAAAACAGUGUGUUUACUAUAUUCACCCAUGUUAUCGAGUCCCCACCCCAUAGCCCAUUGCAGUCACUGUCCAUCAGUGUAAUAAGGUGCCACAGGGUGACUAGUGUUCUCUCUGCUACAUCUGGCUUCUCUGUGACCCCCCCACACCACAUGUACUAAUCAUAAUACCCCUUAAUCUCCUUCUCCCUCCUUUCCCGCACUCCCCUCUGAUAACCACUAGUCCCUUCUUGGGUUCUGUGAGUCUGCUGCUGUUUUGUUCUUUCAGUUUUGCUUUGUUGUUAUACUCCACAAAUGAGGGAAAUCAUUUGGUAUUUGUCUUUCUCUGCCUGACUUAUUUCACUGAGUAUGAUACCCUCUAGCUCCAUCCAUGUUGUAGCAAAUGGUAGGAUUUGUUUCUUUCUUAUGGCUGAAUAGUAUUCCAUUGUGUAUAUGUACCACAUCUUCUUUAGCCAUUCAUCCGCUGAUGGACACUUAGGUCGCUUCCAUAUCUUGGCUAUUGUAAAUAGUGCUGCAAUAAACAUUGGGGUGCAUUUGUCUUUUUGUAUCUGAGAACUUGUCAUCUUUGGGUGAAUUCCUAUGAGUGGAAUUCCCGGGUCAAAUGGUAGUUCUAUUUUUAGUUUUUUGAGGAACCUCCAUACUGCUUUCCACAAUGGUUGAACUAAUUUACAUUCCCACCAGCAGUGUAGGAGGGUUCCCCUUUCUCCACAUCCUCUGCAGCACUUGUUGUUCCUUGUCUUUUGGAUGUUGGCCAUCCUAACCGUUGUGAGGUGAAAGCUCUUUGUGGUUUUAGUUUUCAUUUCCCUGAUAAUUAGUGAUAUGGAGCAUCUUUUCAUGUGCCUGUUGGCUAUCUGAAUUUCUUCUUCGGAGAAGUGUCUGUUCAUAUCCUCGGCCCAUUUUUUAAUCGGAUUAUUUGCUUUUUGGAUGUUGAGGCUUGUGAGUUCUUUAUACAGUUUGGAUGUUAACCCCUUGUUGUAAGUCGUUUACAAAUAUAUUCUCCCAUACUGUAAGAUGCCCUUUUGUUCUACUGAUGGUGUCCUUUGCUGUACAGAAGAUUUUUAGCUUGAUGUAGUCCCAUUUUUAAUUUUGGCUUUUGUUCCCUUUGCCUGAGAAGAUGUGUUCAGGAAAAUGUUGCUCAUAUUUAUAUUCAAGAGAUUUUUACCUAUGUUUUUUUCUGUGAGUUUAUGCUUCAUGACUUACAUUCAGGUCUUUGAUCCAUUUCAAGUUUACUUUUGUGUAUCCAGUUAGAUAAUAAUUCAGUUUCAUUCUCUUACAUGUAGGUGUCCAGUUUUGCCAACACCAUCUGUUGACUGGGGUGUCAUUUCCCCAUUGUAUAUCCAUGUCUCCUUUAUUGUAUAUUAAUUGGCCAUAUAUGUGUGGGUUUAUAUCUGGGCUCUCUGUUCUGUUCCUUUGAUCUAUUGGAUCUUCUCCUGUGCCAGUACCAAAUCGUUUUGAUUAAAAUGACUUUGUAGAAGAGCUUCAAGUUAUGGAGCAUAAUCCACCCAGCUUGAAGUGAUAAGAAGUGUGGGAUUGGGUGAAGAAGCCAGGAGCAGCAGCACAUUUUGGGAAGGAGGAAUUGCAUGUCCAGAUACAUAGGCGUGAGAGAGCAUAUGGCAGGUUUGCAUAGUACCCAGUCACUUGGUGAGGCUGGAGCCGGGGUGCUCUGCUGGUCAUUAGGUAUGCUUAGGAAUACCCCAUCUCUGUUUGUCUCUGGGCACGUGGCAACUUUGAACUUCCCAUCAGGCUUGAGGAUGUGGCCAGUGAAAGUAAGCAGAGGGGAUGUCUGUUACUUCCAGGUGGAAGAUUUAAAAGCUGAUGCCUGUUGUUUUGCUACUUCCUGUAUUCUUUUGGCUACUAGCAAUGUUCCGGAGGGUGGUUGCUUUGUCUGCUUGUGUUCUGGAAUGAGACCAGUGGUGAUGGAGGCAGAGCCACCAGCUGACCUGCAAAGGACAUGGGGAUAAACAAGACGUAAACCUCUGUUUACCCAGCACAGUGCCUGUCUGCCUGGAAGGCUCUGCACCGGUGUUUGCUGAGUUGAAUUGAAUUGACGUGAAAAACACAUCAGUGAGUGCCUCUGAGAGUCAGCCCAGGUGAGAAUAAGACAUUUCAAAAAAUGAAAAGAAAAAACACCUGAGUUCCUGUACAGAAACCUUUCCAGAGCGAGGAUGUGCACAGCAGGGGCUCUGUGGGAGUGUGGUUCAGAGAGUUGCACGACAGCCGUGUGCCAACACCACCA